rnacentral:rRNA from 1 species
AUGGAUGGCAGUAGCUCCAGCAAGAGAAAAGCUGAAGCGCAGGGAGAGGGAGAGAGCAGCGGCAAAAGGCUGAAUGUCACCAUGGGGAUGGAGCACCUUGACUGCUCCCUCUGCUUGAAGCCCCUCAGGCCUCCAAUACUCCAGUGCUCCGUGGGGCAUUUCAUAUGCUCGUAUUGUUGUACGUCUCAACUGGACAGCAAGUGCCAUUUAUGCUCUAAAGAGACAACAUUCGAGCGCUGCUUUGGGAUGGAACAUGUUGUCGAGUCAGUCACAGUAGCUUGCUCCAAUGAGAUGUACGGAUGUGCCGAGGCAGUCACCUACUACAAGAAAGAAGAACACACGGAGGCAUGCUCAUACGCCCCAUGCUUCUGCCCAGAGCCUGGUUGUGGCUUCGCUGGAACAACAAAGGUGCUCCUGGAACAUUUCACGACCCAGCACAAGUGUCCAUUGACAACCCUCCCAGACUCUGGCACAGUGUCUCUCUGCUUGCAGCCGGGCUUACAUGUUUUGCAAUGCACCAGGAACAGCUACUUUUUCUUGCUCAGCAUGGCGUCAGAGCCUUUUGGACAUGCCAUCUCAGUCGUCUGUGUCGAACCAAACAGGAGGAAAUCGAAGUUCACAUGUAAUCUGAGUUAUGACUGCAUAACAACUGGCUGCUGUGGAAGUACAAACUGCCACAUAAGGAGCUCUUCACUCUCUGAUGGGCUUCCGACAGUGUAUGACUUAAUACUUCCCAAGGGAAAGGUUUCUGACGAUGCAAACAGUAUCAUGCUUAGAGCCACCAUUAAUCAUCAAACUAUAAGUCACAGCAGAUCUUGUUUUCGAGGGAAGGGCCUGACUUCUGCACUUCAACAAAGGCCUGAUACUUGUGAUGAUGAUGAUGAUGAUGAUGAUGAUGCGGAUUAUAUACCUAAAAGUCGUAGAAGAUCUCACCCUGCUAAGGAGGAGGAGGUGGUGGAGGAGGAUGAGAAUGAUGAGGACAAUGAGGAGGAGGAGGAGGAGGAGGAGGAGGAUGAAAGACCUUUAAGUCUCAGAAGAUCCCACCUUGCUGAGGAGGAGGAUGAAAGACCUUUACUUCUCAGAAGAUCCCACCCUGCUGUUCAACGAAGGCCCAAUACUUAUGAUGAUGAUGGGCAGGUGGAGGAGGACGAGGAGGAUGCUAGACCUGUAAGUGUCAGCAGACCCCGUCUUCGAGGAACGGCUCCGGCUCGUGGUGUUCAACAAAGGCACUAUUCUGAUACCGAUGAUGAUGAUUAUUUUCCAAUAGCUUUCAGGAGACGCCAUGUCCAAGGAACGCCUUCAGCUCCUGCAGUUCAAGAAAGGCACUAUUUUGACACCAGUGAUGAGGAUGAUUUACCUAUAGCUUUCAGACCCUUUAUUCGAGGAACGGCUUAG